GAAUGAGGAAGAAAAAGAUAUCGUAAUGUAAAUCCAUUAUUUAUUCCUUGCAAAAGAUCAUCCACUUGAAAAUUCGUGUAAAAGUUGGUAAUUCGACUUUCUAAUCGAGUCGUUAGUUUCGCAGCCCGAUUAGUGCUCUGCCUUCCCCGCCUUUUUUUUAUAAUUAGGUUGCACUUCUAUCUAAUUUUUUAUGCAAUUCUGUGUUGUGUGUUGUUGAGCCGGCGACUGCUCUGAUGUUCUCGAAUUUAAUAUAAUAAGUUCAAUCCCGUUCAACAAUACGCCCUACCUCCACUCAGAAUGGUUACUGGACAAGAGCGAGCUGACUUGCCGCGAAACAUAUACGCACCUGCCUCUGAUACCCAAUCAGAGGGGCAAGCCUUUCGAGCUAGAUUUGGUUGGGGCCAUUGGUUCAUAGGACGUAAGCUUCUAAGGAUUGAAGACUCCAUCAGCGAUGUCGGGCAUCACUUAUGCAAUUGACACGAGCGGCUUACUCACUCCUUAUGUGACUCGAGCGAAGUGACCCAUGGGAGGAUGGG
rnacentral:misc_RNA from 1 species